rnacentral:rRNA from 1 species
GACGAACGCUGGCGGCGUGCUUAACACAUGCAAGUCGAACGGAAAGGCCCUGCUUUUGUGGGGUGCUCGAGUGGCGAACGGGUGAGUAACACGUGAGUAACCUGCCCUUGACUUUGGGAUAACUUCAGGAAACUGGGGCUAUAACAGGAUAGAAGCUCUUGCUCCACGGGGGGGGUUGGAAAGUUUCGGCGGUUGGGGAUGGACUCGCGGCUUAUCAGCUUGUUGGGGGGGUAGUGGCUUACAAAGGUUUUGAAGGGUAGCCGGCAUUGGAGGGUGACCGGCCACAUUGGGACUGAGAUACGGCCCAGACUCCUACGGGAGGCAGCAGUGGGGAAUAUUGCACAAUGGGCGGAAGCCUGAUGCAGCAACGCCGCGUGCGGGAUGACGGCCUUCGGGUUGUAAACCGCUUUCGCCGGUGACGAAGCGUGAGUGACGGUAAUGGGUAAAGAAGCACCGGCUAACUACGUG